rnacentral:rRNA from 1 species
GGAUUGAACGCUGGCGGCAUGCCUUACACAUGCAAGUCGAACGGUAGAGUAGCAAUACUUGAGAGUGGCGAACGGGUGAGUAAUAUAUCGGAACGUGCCCAGUCGUGGGGGAUAACGUAGAGAAAUUUACGCUAAUACCGCAUACGAUCUAAGGAUGAAAGCGGGGGACCGUAAGGCCUCGCGCGAUUGGAGCGGCUGAUAUCAGAUUAGGUUGUUGGUGAGGUAAAAGCUCACCAAGCCGACGAUCUGUAGCUGGUUUGAGAGAACGACCAGCCACACUGGGACUGAGACACGGCCCAGACUCCUACGGGAGGCAGCAGUGGGGAAUUUGGACAAUGGGCGAAAGCCUGAUCCAGCAAUGCCGCGUGCAGGAAGAAGGCCUUCGGGUUGUAAACUGCUUUUUGUACGGAACGAAACGGUCUGCUUUAAUACAGUGGCUAAUGACGGUACGUAAGAAUAAGCACCGGCUAACUACGUAGCCAGCAGCCGC